rnacentral:lncRNA from 11 species
UUCCUGCUUGCAGAAUCUGCUAAGCUCAGCAACCUGCAAAAUCCUUCGGCAAGCAUGGAUUCAGUUUCAUUUAACUUUCAAAAAGUCAAGGAACUCUUCCUCAUUAAUAUCCCACAGUUGCUGCUGAUGUGAAAAGGCCCAUUUGAUGCCUUCCUGCCAUCAAUCAAAUAGAUAAUGAGAUGUGAGGACAAUUUGACUGCAAUAUCUUUCACCCCAUCAAUCACCUGGAUUGAUUCAGUUGAUGGCUGACCAAAAAGGACUUCUGAGUGAACAAACAAAAAACAUGAAAUGCAAGUUAUUACAUUAUCCUAUAGCAGCAAGAUGUGUGCAAACAUGGAAAAAUGAACUACCCUCAAAAGAAAAGUGGAAAACUUCCAGAAUUUGAUAUGUUUGCCUUGUUUGAUAAAGCAAAAGUCAACAGAUAACGUUUUAAU